rnacentral:ncRNA from 1 species
GCGGGUAAACGGCGGGAGUACUAUGACUCUCUUAAGGUAGCCAAAUGCCUCGUCAUUUAAUUAGUGACGCGUAUGAAUGGUGCCAGCGGUGUUGAUUAGGUCCAAGUUCUU